rnacentral:rRNA from 1 species
UAGGGAAUCUUCGGCAAUGGACGAAAGUCUGACCGAGCAACGCCGCGUGAGUGAAGAAGGUUUCGGAUCGUAAACUCUGUUGGUAGAGAAGAACGUUGGUGAGAGUGGAAAGCUCAUCAAGUGACGGUAACUACCCAGAAAGGGACGGCUAACUACGUGCCAA